rnacentral:rRNA from 1 species
AACGGACGCUGGCGGCAGGCCUAACACAUGCAAGUCGAGCGCCCCGCAAGGGGAGCGGCGGACGGGUGAGUAACGCGUGGGAACGUACCCUUUGCUACGGAAUAGCCUCGGGAAACUGGGAGUAAUACCGUAUGUGUCCUUCGGGAGAAAGAUUUAUCGGCAAGGGAUCGGCCCGCGUUGGAUUAGGUAGUUGGUGGGGUAAUGGCCUACCAAGCCGACGAUCCAUAGCUGGUUUGAGAGGAUGAUCAGCCACACUGGGACUGAGACACGGCCCAGACUCCUACGGGAGGGAGCAGUGGGGAAUCUUAGACAAUGGGCGCAAGCCUGAUCUAGCCAUGCCGCGUGAGCGAUGAAGGCCUUAGGGUUGUAAAGCUCUUUCAGGGGGGAAGAUAAUGACUGUACCCCCAGAAGAAGCCCCGGCUAACUCCGUG